CCCUUAGAUGUUCUGGGCUGCACGCGCGCUACACUGAUGCGCUCAACGAGUUUACGACCUUGCCCGGAAGGGUUGGGUAAUCUUUUUAAAACGCAUCGUGAUGGGGAUAGAUUAUUGCAAUUAUUAAUCUUUAACGAGGAAUUCCUAGUAAGCGCGAGUCAUCAGCUCGUGCUGAUUACGUCCCUGCCCUUUGUACACACCGCCCGUCGCUCCUACCGAUUGAAUGUUCCGGUGAGCUCUUCGGACUGCGCGGUCUGCAGUUUCUGCGUUCCGUGCGGAAAGUUGCGCAAACCUUAACAUUUAGAGGAAGGAGAAGUCGUAACA
rnacentral:rRNA from 1 species